CUGAAAGCGAUGAAAUUGCCACUCCUAUUACCACAUUAUCCAAUGCUGAUGAAACCGAAGGUGAUGCUACAACUUCCGAUGUAGAAAAUCCAAUCGAUACAAAAAUAGUACCAGAAGAAGGUCAAGAAACUGUUGAAACGUCCGCUUCUCCUACAGUUACCGAGCCACCUUUAACAGAAACUGAAGCGUCGACAUUACAGACGCCAGAAAUAACAGAUGCAGAGACCACUGAUGUAGAUGACAUCCCUACUGAUACUGAGGAUGUCAAAAAGAAGAAAAAGAAAAAGAAAGAAAAAGGAA